rfam:Desulfonatronospira thiodismutans ASO3-1 ctg21, whole genome shotgun sequence.
GGAGUUGGACAGGCCAUCGCCCCCGCACUUACUUUUCUAUGGGUAGAUUUUUCCUGGAUAAAAGUAAGUGCGGGGGAGGAAAGUCCGGGCUCCACAGGGCAGGACGCUGGGUAACGCCCAGCGGGGGCGACCCCGGGAAAGUGCCACAGAAAACAGACCGCCCCGCACUUACUUUUAUUUACGCCCCGCACUUACUUUUUUAAGACUCUAAGGCUCAUAGCUGAUCUGCAGGGACAUAAUUCCUUAAUAAUCAGCCAGAAGCCCUUUGGAAAAGUAAGUGCUGGGCGUUGAUAAAAGUAAGUGCGGGGUAAGGGUGAAACGGUGGGGUAAGAGCCCACCAGCUGUCGCGGCGACGCGGCAGGCUUGGCAAACCCCGUCCGGAGCAAGGCCAAAUAGGAAGGCGCUUGAGGCCGGCCCGGCCGAAGCCUUCGGGUAGGCUGCUGGAGGCCUGGAGCAAUCCCGGUCCCAGAUGAAUGAUGGCCCGUUUUCCAGCGGAAAACCGACAGAACCCGGCUUAUCGUCCAACUCCCCUU